rnacentral:rRNA from 1 species
UACGGGGGGGGCAAGCGUUGUUCGGAAUUACUGGGCGUAAAGGGCUUGUAGGUGGCCAACUAAGUCAGACGUGAAAUCCCCCGGCUUAACCUGGGAACUGCGUCUGAUACUGGACGGCUUGAGUAUGGGAGAGGGAUGUAGAAUUCCAGGUGUAGCGGUGAAAUGCGUAGAUAUCUGGAGGAAUACCGGUGGCGAAGGCGGCAUCCUGGACCAUUACUGACGCUGAGGCGCGAAAGCUAGGGGAGCAAACGGG